AGUUCAGCUGCAAUGCUGCCGCUUGCUAUUGCAGGUUUUUGCUAGCUCAGGUGUCUCUUCACUAUGCUCUCUUUCACUGUGUAGCUGCAUUUGCUUGUAAUUUUUGGACUCCUUUAUUUUAGUAAUGAAUCAGGUCCUGCUGUACAAGAUGCAGACUUCUCAUGAUGCCUGAAACCACCUCUGACAGCCUGGUGUCACCUCUUGCUAGACUGGCUUUGAUUGACAAGUUACUUGCCAGCCUGACAGUGGCCAUGGUGUUUAUGUCUGUGUGUUUGUGGAUCCCUGUGAGGAUAGUGUUCAAACACUAAGGACUGCAAACCUGAACUUCCCCUAAGAUAACUGUUUCACAAAGAUGGGUAAGGCUAGAAUUCUAAAGGUACAGGAUUUUCUUCUAGAAUUGCAUUAUUCUAGAAAGGUUUAGGCAGGAUAAUAACAUCCACAAGACUGCUUUUUUCUCCUUGUCUUCCAACACCUGCAGACAGCACUGGCUAAGAGGAAGCUGUACAACUGCUUGUAAUGCAUUGUCCUGGAUUUCAGAGGAAUUUUUCAUUGUUCGUUGCCAUCAGGUUUUAAACCAUUAGUGUCAGAACCUGUCAACGUUCAUGGAUUUUUUAGCUCUGCUCAAAAUAAUCUGUAGAAUUUUGGAUGAAGCUUAAGGGACAAGACAUGGAGUUCCUCUAUUUAAGACAUACAAGGAUGAAGGAUGGUCUGAAGUGGAAGAUAUCAAAUGCCAUUUAUUUUACAGAGCUUAUUCCUGUUUCAUGUCUUGCCAUCUGGUCUAUGACAGCCUUGAAGUCUGUUAAGUCUACAAGUCUAUGAAAUAGCCUACAGCCCAGAAGUCCAUGAAAAAUGAUCCAUAAAAAAAAAUGUAUGGAACCUUGAGAUUACCAAAACUUUACUUAAUAUGUAGUUAAUUCCUUGUGCUUUUACACACUGGGAAAAUUAAUUUGAGUAAAUUGAAUAUUGCUCAUUUUUCAGGUAAAUUACAUGGUCCAAGGAAUUUUCUCUGAAUAUUAAAAAAAAAA